CACCGCGGUUAUACGAGAGGCCCAAGUUGAUAAGCACCGGCGUAAAGAGUGGUUAAGACAGACAUAAGACUAAAGCCGAACACCCUCCUAGCUGUUAUACGUUGACACGAGGACUAGAAGUUCAACUACGAAAGUGGCUUUACAUUAUCUGACCCCACGAAAGCUAUGGUA
rnacentral:rRNA from 1 species